CUGUUUGGGGCCGCACUGCCUUUAUGAAAUGUAACACUCACGGAGAAGGUCUGCAGCUUCACUCCUGGGGUUGGCCAGACCACAAACCCACCAGGAGGAAUGAACAACUCCAGACAGGAGGAACGAACUACUCCAGAUGCACCACCUUAAGAGCCUUGACACUCACUGUGUAGGUCUGCAGCUUCACUCCUGAAACCAGCCAGACCACGAACCCACCAGAAGGAAGAAAUUCCAGACACAUCAUAACAUCAGAAAGAACAAAUUCUGGACACGCCAUCUUUAAAAACUGUCACACUGCGAGGGUCUGCAGCUUCAUUCUUGAAGGCAGUGAGACCAAGAAUCCACCAAUUCUGGGCACAUUAGGGGAAUGUCUCUGCCUCUAGGCCAUUCAACAGACCAUGGGGUGGGGAAGAUGCAGGCUUGUCCUCUACCCUGUGACUGUCUGGGCCACCUAAGAGAGGUAGCCUGGAGGAGUGGCCAGGAGCAGAAACUUUGGCAUCACACUGCCUGAGAUGAUACCUGCUAUUAUUUACCAGUUUUGGGGCCUUGGAUAAGCUCCCUCUCUACCCAGCUGAGCCACAUAGAGAGAAUGAAGCCUGCCAUUUUGCACACAGUUUUGCCUUUGCGGCUGUUUAUUUUGCUAAGACUCUUAAACCUGUCAGCGAAGCGGUUUCCAGCCCAGUCUCUGUGGUAAUAAUCUCCCUUUCUAAGAGAUAAGCACCCCGAGUGAGA
rnacentral:lncRNA from 10 species